rnacentral:sRNA from 1 species
UUCGCCCGUAGUUUAUGAGGAUGAGUACCUCCGCAGGAGGUUCGAGCCUCGCGAAGCGAGACAACGUUGCUUUAGCAACGGCCGCAGGGGCGCGCAUCAAAAGAUGCGCGUAAUCUCGCCGACCACCA